rnacentral:rRNA from 1 species
GAUGAACGCUGGCGGCAUGCCUUACACAUGCAAGUCGAACGGUAACAGGUUUUCGGAUGCUGACGAGUGGCGAACGGGUGAGUAAUACAUCGGAACGUGCCUAGUAGUGGGGGAUAACUACUCGAAAGAGUGGCUAAUACCGCAUGAGAUCUACGGAUGAAAGCAGGGGAUCGCAAGACCUUGUGCUACUAGAGCGGCCGAUGGCAGAUUAGGUGGUUGGUGGGAUAAAAGCUUACCAAGCCGACGAUCUGUAGCGGGUCUGAGAGGACGAUCAGCCACACUGGGACUGAGACACGGCCCAGACUCCUACGGGAGGCAGCAGUGGGGAAUUUUGGACAAUGGGCGCAAGCCUGAUCCAGCAAUGCCGCGUGCAGGAUGAAGGCCUUCGGGUUGUAAACUGCUUUUGUACGGAACGAAAAGCCCUGGGUUAAUACCCUGGGGUCAUGACGGUACCGUAAGAAUAAGCACCGGCUAACUACGUGCCAGCCGCCGCCGUAA